rnacentral:rRNA from 1 species
UGAGUACGAGAUGCUACGGCGUCGAAGCAGUGUAUGUCAUACUUCCAAGAAAAGCUCGCACUGUCAUAAACAAAUAAUGCCUGUACCAUAACCGACACAGGUGGGUAGGUAGAGUAUACUAAGGGGCGCGAGAUAACUCUCUCUAAGGAACUCGGCAAAAUGACUCCGUAACUUCGGGAGAAGGAGUGCCUUUUUUAAGGUUGCAAUAACCAGAUCCAAGCAACUGUUUAUCAAAAACACAGGUCUCCGCAAAGUCGUAAGACGAUGUAUGGGGGCUGACGCCUGCCCAGUGCCAGAAGGUUAAAGAAGUUGGUUAGUUUCGACGAAGCUGAUGACUGAAGCCCUGGUGAACGGCGGCCGUAACAAUAACGGUCCUAAGGUAGCGAAAUUCCUUGUCGGGUAAGUUCCGACCCGCACGAAAGGCGUAAUGAUUUGGAUACUGUCUCAGAGAGGGGCUCGGUGAAAUAGACUUGUCUGUGAAGAUGCGGACUACCUGCACCUGGACAGAAAGACCCUAUGAAGCUUUACUGUAACUUGAAAUUGAAAUUGGACUUUAUUUGCGCAGCAUAGGUGGGAGGCGUUGAAGAUAUUCUUGCGGGAAAAUUGGAGCCAUCAGUGAGAUACCACUCUUGUAAUGUUAGAUUUCUAACUUUGUAUCAUUAUCUGGUCAAAGAACAGUUUCAGGCGGGCAGUUUGACUGGGGCGGUCGCCUCCCAAACGGUAACGGAGGCGCACAAAGGUUUCCUCUGAACGGGUAGAAAUCGUAUCUAGAGUGUAAAGGCAUAAGGAAGCUUGACUGUGAGACCUACAAGUCGAGCAGGGACGAAAGUCGGUCUUAGUGAUCUGACGGUGCUGAGUGGAAAGGCCGUCACUCAACGGAUAAAAGUUACUCUAGGAUAACAGGCUGAUCUCCCCCAAGAGCUCACAUCGACGGGGAGGUUUGGCACCUCGAUGUCGGCUCAUCGCAUCCUGGGGCGGUAGUACGUCCCAAGGGUUGGGCUGUUCGCCCAUGAAAGCGGUACGCGAGCUGGGUUCAGAACGUCGUGAGACAGUUCGGUCCAUAUCCGGUGUAGGCGUUAGAAUAUUGAGAGGAGCCUUCUUUAGUACGAGAGGACCGAGAAGGACAUACCUAUGGUGUACCAGUUAUCGUGCCAACGGUAAACGCUGGGUAGCUAUGUAUGGAGUGGAUAACCGCUGAAAGCAUCUAAGUGGGAAGCCCACCUCAAGAUAAGUAUUCU